rnacentral:rRNA from 1 species
UACAGAGGUCUCAACCGUUGUUCGGAUUCAUUGGGCGUAAAGAGUGCGUAGGCGGUUCGUUAUGUCUGCUGUGAAAGCCCCGGGCUUAACCCGGGAAUGGCAGUGGAAACUGGCGGGCUUGAGUGUGGCAGAGGGGGGUGGAAUUCCGCGUGUAGCAGUGAAAUGCGUAGAGAUGCGGAGGAACACCGAUGGCGAAGGCAGCCCCCUGGGCUAACACUGACGCUGAGGCACGAAAGCGUGGGGAGCAAACAGG